rnacentral:rRNA from 1 species
GUGGGGAAUCUUGCGCAAUGGGCGAAAGCCUGACGCAGCCAUGCCGCGUGAAUGAUGAAGGUCUUAGGAUUGUAAAAUUCUUUCACCGGGGACGAUAAUGACGGUACCCGGAGAAGAAGCCCCGGCUAACUUCGUGCCAGCAGCCGCGGUAAUACGAAGGGGGCUAGCGUUGCUCGGAAUUACUGGGCGUAAAGGGCGCGUAGGCGGACAGUUUAGUCAGAGGUGAAAGCCCAGGGCUCAACCUUGGAAUUGCCUUUGAUACUGGAUGUCUUGAGUACGGGAGAGGUGAGUGGAACUCCGAGUGUAGAGGUGAAAUUCGUAGAUAUUCGGAGGAACACCAGUGGCGAAGGCGGCUCACUGGCUCGAUACUGACGCUGAGGUGCGAAAGCGUGGGGAGCAAACAGGAUUAGAAACCCUGGUAGUCC